GACGAACGCUGGCGGCGUGCUUAACACAUGCAAGUCGAACGGUGAUGCUCCAGCUUGCUGGAGUGGAUCAGUGGCGAACGGGUGAGUAACACGUGAGUAACCUGCCCCAGACUCUGGAAUAAGCGCUGGAAACGGCGUCUAAUACUGGAUACGAAACUGGCCCGCAUGGUCAUGGUUUGGAAGGUUUUUCGGUUUGGGAUGGGCUCGCGGCCUAUCAGCUUGUUGGUGGGGUAAUGGCUCACCAAGGCGACGACGGGUAGCCGGCCUGAGAGGGCGACCGGCCACACUGGGACUGAGACACGGCCCAGACUCCUACGGGAGGCAGCAGUGGGGAAUAUUGCACAAUGGGCGGAAGCCUGAUGCAGCGACGCCGCGUGAGGGAUGACGGCCUUCGGGUUGUAAACCUCUUUCAGCAGGGAAGAAGCGAAAGUGACGGUACCGGCAGAAGAAGCACCGGCUAACUACGUG
rnacentral:rRNA from 1 species